rnacentral:tRNA from 1 species
GGGCAGGUUCCGGAGUGGUUAAACGGGGCAGACUGUAAAUCUGUUGGCUACGCCUUCAGGGGUUCGAAUCCCUUCCUGCCCACCA